GACGAAGGGGGCUAGCGUUGUUCGGAAUUACUGGGCGUAAAGCGCGUGUAGGCGGUUAUGCAAGUCGGGUGUGAAAGCCUUGAGCUCAACUCAAGAAAUGCACUCGGUACUGGGUGACUAGAGGACCGGAGAGGAUAGUGGAAUUCCCAGUGUAGUGGUGAAAUACGUAGAGAUUGGGAAGAACACCAGUGGCGAAGGCGGCUAUCUGGACGGUUUCUGACGCUAAGACGCGAAAGCGUGGGGAGCAAACAGG
rnacentral:rRNA from 1 species